rnacentral:pre_miRNA from 1 species
AGGAACAACUGCUGUGGCGGGGCCAGCUCUGGAAACCUGGAUUCAGGCCCCACAUUCACUCCGGAGCUCUCUGUCUGCAGGGCCUGGAUGCUCUGGGGCGGG